rnacentral:misc_RNA from 1 species
AGCCGCUUUGUACAUAGUGUAGGAAAAGGCCCUGGUUGUUUACGCCUCCUGCAGCUUUCAGCAGAACUCCAAUUUACAGAAUCAUGUUUUGAAAGUGACAACACACUCGGUAAUUACAAUUCAUGAACUGACAAAUGUGUAAAAGAUAUUACAAAUAAUGAAUAGAAGAUUGCUAAAACACUCAUUAAACCAAAAUUCUCUGAACACAGAAAG